CCUACGGGAGGCAGCAGUAGGGAAUUUUGCGCAAUGGGCGAAAGCCUGACGCAGCAACGCCGCGUGAUCGAGACGCCCUUCGGGGUGUAAAGAUCUGUCAGUGGGGGCGAAACUUGACGGUACCCACAGAGGGAGCACCGGCUAACUCCGUGCCAGCAGCCUCGGUAAUACGUAGGAUGCGAGCGUUAGCCGGAUUUAAUGGGUUAAAAGGGUGCGUAGGCGGAUCGUUAAGUCAGUGGUCAAAUUGAGGGGCUCAACCCCUUCGCGCCUGUGAAACUGGCGUUCUUGAGUGGAAGAGAUGUAUGCGGAAGGCGUUGUGUAGCGGUGAAAUGCAUAGAUAUCACGCAGAACCCCGAUUGCGAAGGCAGCAUGCCGGCUUCCGACUGACGCUGAAGCACGAAAGCGUGGGGAUCGAACAGGAUUAGAUACCCGUGUAGUC
rnacentral:rRNA from 1 species